rnacentral:lncRNA from 1 species
AGGUAUCACUAUAAUACAUAAGGAAUUUAAUUACAAGUAUCACUUAAAUGAUUUCCUAGUCUAAAUUAAUUUUUCUGAAUCAAAGGUUUCUAUGUGUCAAACUGACUCGAUCAUGCCAUCAAAGCUUACUCUAUAUGCAUAAUAAUAUGAUAUGUUGUUCCUUAGGUGUAGUCCUCGCAUUGUGUUCGCCCAGGCGCAGCCCCACAUUCAACCUGAAAUAGAAAACACAAUCCAUGUAAGUUCAUUAGAACUUAGUGAGAUAAACUCCCAUUUACCUGAAUUGUUUUUUUAUUUCACAUCUGGUAAUUCAAUUCGCCAUCUCAUUGUUCUUUUUUCCUCAACUUGUCUUUGGCGGUUACCUUCUUAGAAUGUCAUUCUUCGUGCCAUAGUUGUCACCAUUAACUCUGAAGUCAUGUCUUACAUUCCGCAUCUUUGAUACGUUACUUACGUUCUUCACUUUGUACUUUCUUGAUUCCUUAACCAUACCCAUUCUAAGGGCCCCAUACAAACAAAAUAUUCCAUUUCUUUCUCUCAGGGUCCGUCACAGAGGCGUUUUCUUCAAAUGGUUGCCACAAGGGUCAUUCUUUAGAGUGUGCCAUAGAGGUUUCUUUAUCAUAAAUAGCCACAAAGGCUUCAUUUUCAUAGAGCGCCACAAAGGCUUCUUUUUUAUAGAUCACGACAAAGGUUUCCCUUUUUGUAACGUGUUUACGAUGGGGAUUUACCUAGACUCAUAUUUCGUAAGGUUUGCCCCUCAUCGUCUUAGGACACACCGAGAACCCCAUUGGGCAAUAACCUUCAUUUAAUGCUUUUCAUAUGAUGCCAUAGCCCAACUAUGGUCUUACACAAUAUGGUGUCAUGGCCAUGGACAUUUUCCUUUCAAAGAUCGUGUUUAAAGUCCCGACAGACCCCUUAUAGACUUCACCAUGGUGAAUAGACAUAAACUCACUUGACAAACUCUUCAUACAUGAUCAUCAUUUGUUACUCAACAUUUGAUUCAUUCAAACACCCAAACGGUUUCACAUUUCAUCACAUUUUUUCUAGACAUACCUCUAUAACCAUACUUUAACUUUCAAGUUUCAAACCACUUACUCCUCAGAUUUCCUACAUACUACACAUGUAAAAUCCAUCAAACAAACAUGCAAUAGCAUCACCACUAUACCAUACUAUUCUAGUUUAAUUACAUACAAGAAAGAAUUGGCUUAGGGACUCAUCUAAUUCUCACCUACUACAGUUCAAAGCUCCAAAUCUAAACUUCCAUUACAAUUAGCAACAUCUACUGCUACAGAAUAAAGAAGCUCAUCAAGAUCUAUUCAUAUAACCCUUUUCUGAUAUCUUUUAAACACUAAAAAUCCCCAAGGAGGGCCAUUUUAUCCUUUAUCUUAAUAAUCUACCAAGUCUAAUAGAUUUACUCCUCAACACACAGUAUGCAAAGUUUUAAAUCUUACCUCAAAGUGAUGAAAUCACUGGUAAAGAUCCAAAUCUUCAACUUUAGCGCAAGAUAGGGAAAGAAAUACUUUGGAUUCCUUUAGAUCUAGAUAGAAAUACUUCUUGAAGAAGGAAGAACAAAACUCCCUCUUUUUAGACCUAAAUACUUAUAUAUAGAGCCCAAGCUCUUAUUGGAACCUACCACAUGUCACACACUUUCAAAGCUAACUUUAUAAAUAGUUUACAAAUGUAAAUAGAAAUUCAAUAUUUUUAUAUUUCUGGUUCAUCCAUUUGUUCCUUUCCAACUACCUCGUUAGAACGUAAUUAGCACAAAAACCCCCUAAAUUGGGUGUUCAAUACCUUUGGCAGUAAUCCCCUACUUACAAGGUUCUCAACAUUUUUACCAACUCUCUUAUUUUUUAUAACUUAAUACAUUUUAGGAACAACCCAUGCUUAACAAUCCAAUACAUACUAUACGCCCGGUCUAUACACCAGAAAAACAAUUGGACAGAUAGCACUAUGCCACUCAGGUUACUUUCGGUUUACCUGGCAAAUUUAGAACUCGACCAAAUCUGGGUGUUACACAUGUGGAGCUUCCAAACUGCUCCAAUGUUCUGUUUUUCACUCGUUUUUUUACUCCUAUUGCUCCCAAGUUCUCUAUUAAGCUUCGAAAUAUGAAUUUAAAGGAUUAGGAGUAUAUAAUUCACAAUUAACACCAUGUAAUCACACAAAGAUGCAUUAAGAAUAAGGAUAAAAUAUGUUAUUUUUAACACAUAUCAAUAUUUUAUAAAAAUAUAAUUAAAAUAAUUACUAUACCAGCAACUUAUUAAAAGAAGUGGAAGUGGACUUCUUUUCCAAGCAUUUGGAACAAGUUCAAAUCAUGGAGUCGAUAUUGUUGGUAGGCUUUUACCUGAAUGCCACCCCAACCUGAAUAAGACUUAGAUCGUAAAAUGGAUGAGAACAUUGUGAUUAUACCCAAAAAAGUAUUCACUAUAUUAUGAAUUUUAAUUCAUUAGGUAUGUUUGAUUGAUAGAGUUCAUUAUAUUAUAAUUUCCUAUGUCAUGUUUGCUAAGUAUAAAUUAUAAUAACACAACUACAUAAUUUUAAAAUUUAAAAAAAUUUAAAAUUAUUAAUUAUUAUAAAAUUAUCAAUAAUACUUUAAAAAAUAUUCUUUAAACAAGUAACAAGCCUAAAAUCAAAUACUCCUAUAUAACACGCUAGUUGAAGAAAGUAUUUAACAAUACGAUUAGCAAUAAAAUUAACAAAAAAAAACAUUCUAUGCAAUUUUAUCUAAUUACUUUAGCAAUCUAUAUUUGUUGGGUUAUUGUCUCUCUAACAUUAAAUAUAUAAUAUUUCUUAUUAUCUAUUGAUCUUUGCAAGGCCCAAAAAAUAGGCCUAGUAGUUUCGAGUAAGUUUACCGAGUUCUGAGUGAAAAGUUAGGAGUUAAUCGGGGUUAUUAGUAUUUUUCUCUUAGUUUAGUUAGCUUAAUUUCAUUUACAAAAAUCGGGAAAUAAUAUUUAGGAAAAUAAAAAUAUUUUUAGAAAAUUUAAUUUUAUAGUUUUAAAUAUUUUUUGGGUAAAAUAAAUAUUUUAGGUCAAAUUAGAAUUGAAAAAUAAAUUAAAAUGGGAGUUUAAUUUAGAGACUUUAAAAUAUUGAUUACAAACGAUCAUUUUGAAAAAUAAGGGAAAUGUUUGAGUGGUUUUAUGACAAAUUACCCAUAUUUUUGGAAUUUUGGUGGGAAAGGAUUGCUUUGUAAAACAAGGGACUUGUGGGAGUGCCCUGAUGGCAAUUUCCCCCAUUUUUGAAAAUCAGGUGGGGUUCUUUAGCUCAAAAACAUUGCAAUCCCCUCACUUCACACACAAUUUUCACCCAAUUUCUACGCAUUUUAUCUCGUAUUUCAUUUUCAUUUUCGAAGUCCACAUAUCAAAUAUUAGAUCUCAUCUGUUAUUUUCUCUAAAUUCUCUCAAAACUCUCUAGAAAAGAUUUUCAAAGUUGGGAAAAUAACUCAUCCAAGUUUUGCACAGAUCUUGAUCCAAUAUUCAAUAUUGAUGAUUCUAGAUCAAUUUAAGGUAAUUUCUCAGCUCUAAAUUCAUUUUAAAUUUUUUUAAUCAUUAUUUUUGAUUUAAAUCGAUUAAAAUGGUUUUUCCAAUCUUGAUUUCUUCUCUCCUAAACUUGAAAUUCAUCAAUGGUGAAUUCAUGGUUUUGAGUUGGAAUCCAAGUUUAAAUGGAUAUCUAAGCUCAAAUCAUGUUUAUUAACAGGUUUUUUAUCAGAAAACAAAAGAUUAAACUCGUCUAAUUGAUCAAUUUUGACAAAUCCAUUUUUAACUAAGAACAUGAGUUGAUAUUCCAAAAAAUUAUGAAAUUGAUGCUUAAUUUUUGUGGUGAUAGAUUAGAAAUGAUAUUUAGAAUUGCUUUUUGGUGUAGAGAAGGUCAUUUUGGGGCUGAAAUUUGUGUUUUGGCUCUACCGUGAGUUUUCGAUAAGGUAGAUUGGAGAGGUGUUUUAGAUCUGUGUAGUUCAUGAUAUUUUUUUAUUUUCUUAUUGUUAAUGAUAGCUUGUAACUUGCAUUUUAUCUCUAUUUAAGCUCCAUAAUGAGGAGAGGUUGUUGUUAAUCAGAAUCGAGAUCCAAACAUAGCUACUUGAUACACUUUGGCUUGAGAAGCAAAGUGUGAAGGUGGGUGGUUUUUAAAGGCAAUUGGUAAACAUGCCUAUUUACAUUAUAAAUUAAGGUUUUGAAUUGUGUUUCUAAUGAUUCAAUUUCAUUUCAAAUGGCUUAGAUUAUUGAAAUUGAUUUUAAUUUUAUAUAAGCAUAUUUGUAAAUGAUUUAUGGAAAUUGUGAAUUGUGUGUUUGGUAUGAUUGAUUUGGAUUGCAUUGAAUAAAUAAUUGGAGCAUGGAUUAUUGUAUAUUAGAGCACUUGAUGGUUUAAUCAUUGGGUUUAGAUCCAUGGACAAAGACACUUAUUGUGCUUAUCUAUGUUGUUACUAAAAUUGCUAAGUCACAUGAUUUAAAUUGAAUUUUUAUAUCAUGAAUUAAGUGCUUAAAUAUCAGUUUUUAUGCCUCGUAUGAUUGGUUAUAUUGGCAACAUUACAUGGUGGAUCCAUUUGAUAUAGAUGGCAUGCCAUAGAAUUAGUGAGUACUCAUAACUAUAUGUGUUAUUUGUGAGCAUAUGGCUCUAGGAGUAUUUAUUUUGUUGGAGUGGAUAAGGGAGUGUUGAGCCUUUUUCUCCACUCAAUUAUUGGCGAUUUCGAGGCGAUACAAGGGAGUGUGUGGCUACGCCCCACUCAACUGGAGUAUUGUAUUAGAUAUUUAGGAGAUCAGAGAUCCAUUUAUCCAAUGCAUGAUCACAUGUUUAUUUUUUUCCAUGGAUGUCAUUUUUCAAUAUAAGUGUUUGUUUGUUAAUUAAAUUAUGUUUCCAUAUGCCAUAAUAAAUGUGAUUUUUACUCGUAAAAUAACAUAUGGAAUUAUGAUGUUAUGAUGUUGCAUUGUUGCUGGAAAUUUCAGUCAAUUGAAUGCUAUAAUUGAGCAUGAAAAUAUAAUUAAAACUAUGAUUCAUAUACUCAAAAUUUAAUACAUGAUUUGCCUUGGUUUAGGUAUGUUUUUGGUGUGAUUUACUUAUUGAAUUUAUGGCCACUCACUGAGCUUUUUCAGCUUACACCCUCACAGCUUUGUGUAGAGUUUUUUUUUAUGCUUUGGGGAGUUAAGAAGAAAGGGCAAGGCUGGUCCAAGUCUAAGGCUAUUAGGUAGCAUAGAUUAAGGACUCUUCUUUGAUAUACUUGUAAUAGACAUUUGAGACUUUUAUUUGGAUAUUAAGUUUGAGAUGUUAUACUUGUUUUUUGUUUAAUGAUUGAUUUUACGGUUAAAUGUUAUGUGGAUUAUGGUAUGUUGCUAAUUGAUAUCAUGGUGAUUGAAAACAUGGUGAUUGAAGCAUUAAUUUUUCACUAAUACAUUUUAAUUUUAGCUUGUCAAUGAGUGGAUAGCUUUGUGGCUAAUGUAAGUCCAUUGUAUGAUUUAAUUGUUGUUUGUUAAGCAUAAUUUUGAAUGUUUAAAUUAUGAAUACAUGUUGUUUAUUAGAUGGAAUUAGAUUAAUUAAAAUUGCAUAUAUAUUAUUAAAGUAAUAAAACUUAACUAAUAUAGCCUUAAUUAGUAAAUGAAUUAAGGAAAAAUGGUUAAUUAAAAUGAAUUUUAAGGGUUUCCCAAAAUUAAUUAAAAGGAAGGUGGUAAUCAUUUAGAAUUAAAAUCGGGAUUGUUUAGUUUUAAAUGGUAAAAUGACUCAAAUAUCCUUAGGAUUAAAUCCUAAAAAAUAGUUUUGCAAUGGUUCACAAAUUUCUUCUGCAAUAAGAUUAGACAGUUAUUAGUUAGAAUUGAGGUGUUAUAAGAUUGGGGUGUGUUUUGGGGUGGUUUUGUGCUGGAGAGUCACUUUGAUGGUUAAUGUGCUGCUUCAGAUUUGGGUCAGUCCAUUCCGGUCAAGUUUGGGGUGUUACAAUCUUUGACCAAGUAUAAAUAAUUUAACAAUAAACAUUAUAUAUUUUAGUUAAAUUUAGAAUAAAUAAUUUAUAAUAUAUACUAUGUAAUUUAGUUAAUUAUUUAGUAAGUAAAAAAGUAUAGGAAAAUAUCGCUCAGUAAUAAAUUUUCAAAUUAUUUAAACAACAAAAAUAACAUAUAAUUAUAUUUAAAAUUUAAAAUAGAUAUCCUAAAAUUAAAAUAUUAUUUAUCGUGACUCAUUUUUUAUUAAAAAAUAAAAAAUGAGCUUGGUGAAUUUUGAAAAAAGUAUGGAGGAUUUCUAAUUUAAAAAAAAAACCCCACAUAGUCUUAUUAAACAAAUGGAAAAUCGUCACUGAUAUUUUUACUACUAGGUGUGAUCGAUUAUAUAUAAAAUCAUUUUUUUUUAAAAACUAAAUUUGUUUUAGAACGAAAAAUUUUGAAUCUACGUUGAAAACUAGAGUAAUAAUUAAAUUCAAGAGUUAAUUAUGCACAGAAAAGAUUUUAAUACCCUCGCAAUGCCUAAAAAUUGAUACGUAGUUAAAUACAUGUUGUCUUAAUUUUGAAAAUUAAAUGUUUAAAUUUAAAUAUUUAAUUAUCAUCCAAUGCUUUAUUUUUUUUCAAAUAAAUUUAUUAAAUAAGUGAAUUCCUUCUUGUAAAAACUCAAUUAUUAUUUUCAUGUGCCCUUCCCCCUUCUCAAUAUUUUUCAACUAAAAAUUUCAUAUUAAGAUUCAUUCCAUUACUUAUUUUCAUCCGUUAAUAUCCAAUACAACGUUCAAGACCAUUCAAAUGUGUAGGACUUAUGUAAAAGCCAUCUAUUAAAUGUGAAAAUCAAUUUGUGAGUAAUGGUUAGAUGUAUAUUAAAUAUCAAAGGAUGAAAAAGUAAUAGAGUAGAACCAAACCCAAAAAUUUCAUAUCUAGUAGUAAUUUAAAUAUAUAUAUGAUAAUACUCUAAAUUGACAUACUUUUAUGUGUUAAUUGCAUAUAUAUUUUAAGUAUGAUCCUACUAAUUUAGGCUUUUUAUGGGUUUUUAUCUUGUAGGGACUAAAUUGAAGGAGAAAAGAAAUUUGGGGGCAAAAAACGUGAACUGAAACACAGAAUGGGUCAGCAUGCAAAAUAGGGAAGAAAUGGUGCAAAAAAUACAAAAUGCAAAAGACUUGGGGUAAAAAUUCAAAGAAGAGAUUUAUGAACAGAAGACUCUAUUUAAAUUCAAAUUUUAUUUUUAGGAUUAUUGUUAUGAUUAUUAUGAUAUUAUUUAGAUUUAAUUUCAGAAUAUAUCUUUAUUUAUCUUUUAGAGUUUAAAUAGGAAAAAACUAGGUUUUCUAUAUACUAUAAAUAGGGGAUAGAGUGACAUGAAUAUUCACUCAUCAUUUUCUGUAAAACGCUCACUCUCUCUAAAGCUCUUAGCUUUUUGUUCUUUUUAUUUUUCAAUAAAAUUUCAUUCCAUUAAACUUAUUUCUUUUUUCCGAAAAGCAUGAUCCACUAAACUCAUCUAGCCAAGGGUUAUCGAGAUUCCCAAAAAAAGGUUUAUGAGGCUUAGAACCUACACUUAGCCUUCUCAAUGAGUAUUCAUCGUUUCUCCGCAUUACAGGACUGUCGCUUCUGUCCAUGUCCUUCCAAAAAUGAUCUUUUCAUCUUGCGCAAAUGCGGCCGCUUUGUAUAUUUUGGGAAGGUUGCAGAGUCGGUUCGCUAACUUUACGUCAAAGGUUGUCGAGCCCAAGAGACGAAAUGGCAUGAUAUUUGCCAUUGAGAAAUGAUAAUUUAGUGUAAGACAGUCCCACAAAAGUGACAGUUGGCUAGAGUCAGGUUCCUCUAACUUGUAAGGGUAAAAUCUAAGUAGAGUUGGUUGUCGUAGGUGUCCUUUUCCACUAUAACUGACUUAUUCUGUCAUGAGAAGGAUCACCUAAAAGCCUAGGAUUGAGAUUACUAGAGACUAGAAUCCCUUAAAUCGAAGAAUCCAUUUCCUCAAUUCUGUUUCUUUUUACAAUUUCAAUAUCAAUUUAUACAAUUUUCAACUCGUCCUUAUUUUUAAUUUUGUCUUUUUUUUUUAUUUUUCCCAAGUACGUCGUUUUUCUUGGGCAUGACUGUGCCCAAGAUUUCGAGAAACAAGAAGUUGUAGUGAUCUAGUCCCUGAGGAUUUGACCCUACUUCUCUUAUACUAUUAUUUUCGUUAUUUAUUAGGGAUAGGUUUUUUUUGGUGCUUUCAAUGAUACACCAAAUUUUGGCGUCGUUGUUGGCGACUAGUUCCAUACUAAUCUUGUUUCUUUUUCUUAUGACCAGAUCUGCUCCAGGAAUUCCUACGUUUCAUUCAGAAAUAGAAAAGACUGCGAGAGCUAAUCGUAAGGAAACGAAGCUACGGAAAAGGUAGUUAGAGGUGGUAAGAACUUAGAGUAACCCACCACUAGAAAUAGAACCAAGUGACGAAAUUGAAUCUAGGGUUAAUGAAAACCCUAUUCAAACACUAGAGAAUGAAAGAAUAGUAGUCGAUCCACUAGAAGAAGUAUCUGACGCUAGGGUUAACAUAAACCCAAAUCUAGCACAACAACCUAUGUCUCAAACGAUUCGACAAAUGGCCGAAGCUCCUGCAGAACAACAGUCGUUAUGCAUUGCGUAUCCUACUAUGGAUACUAAUUUUGAACUGAAGUCAGGAUUAAUCUAGUUCUGCCAACUUUUCAUGGAUUAAAAAAUGAAAAUCCACACAAACAUCUAAAAGAGUUUUAUAUGGUUUGUCUUAAUAUGAAACUUUAGGGUGUAACUGAGGAUCAAAUCAAAUUACGUGCUUUCCCUUUUUCCCUAGCAGACUCUGCUAGGGAAUGGUUAUUUUAUUUACCUCCUGGAUCUAUCACAACGUGGGCUGAUCUUUCCCAUUUGUUUCUCAAUAGAUUUUUCCCAACAUCGCGUACAGUUGAGUUGAGGGAAAUUGUUGGGAUAAGACAAAAAGAUGUGGAGUCUCUUUAUGACUAUUGGGAGCGCUUAAAGAAGUUGUGUGCAAGUUGCCCACAACAUGGGAUAACAAAACAAUCUCUACUCCAAUACUUUUAUGAUGGCUUGAAGCUCAUAGAAAUGAAUAUGAUAGAUGCCGCCAGUGGAGGGAUUUUAGUCAACAUGACCCCCCAACAGGCAAGGGACUUGAUCUCCACGAUGGCUACAAAUACUCAGUAGUUCUGAGCCAAUCUUGAACCCACGAAAAGGGUUCACCAGCUAAGUAAUUCAACUUUAGAAGAUAAAGUUGAUAGACUUACUAAUAUCAUGAAUUCACUUUUUGCAGUAAAAAUAGGACCAACUCGAUUAUGCGAAAUUUGUGCAACACCCGAACAUACAACUGAUACAAGCCCUAGUUUGUGUGAAGAUACUACAACCCAUUUGGAUGUUGUGGGGAACUUUCUUGGACAAUCCCAAAGGUGAUAUGACCCUUAUGCAAGUACAUAUAACCCAGGAUGGAAAGACUAUCUUAACUUGAGUUAUGAGGCAAACCUGCAGUAUAACCAGCCAUACCAAAACCGGUUUCCACAACAAACGAAAGAUUACCAGCUAAUAUGUUUGAUUUCCAACAACAAAUACAAUGGCAAACUGUUGAUUUCCAAAAGACAGUAAAAGAUUUUCAACAAAAAAACAAGGCGUCUAUAAGAGAGUUGACCACAUCAAUUGAGAAAAUGAACUCACAGGGAAAGUUGUCGUCACAAACGGAACCUAACCCAAGACAACAUGUAAAUGCAGUGACAUUAUGAAGUGGAAAAGUACUGGAACCAAAUCGUGGCAAGAAUCUUGAUCAAGAUUCCAUCCAGAAAAAGUAGGAGAACAAUGAAAAGGUCCAAGCGAAACCUCCAUUGCCCAUAAUUCAACCUCCUUUUCUAGGACAAUUAAACCAACAUCGAAAAGGUAAAGAGGAAAAAGAGAUCCUCGAAACAUUCAGAAACGUCGAGAUCAACAUACCAUUGUUGGAUGCCAUCAAACCAAUUCUGCAAUAUGCCAAGUUCCUUAAGGAUCUCUGCACCAACAAGCGAAAAUUAACUAGAAAUUAAAGAGUAAGUGUUGGUGAAAAUGUAUCUGCGGUGUUGCAGCGAAAGAUGCCAACAAAAUGUAAAGACAGGGGCAUGUUUGCAAUACCAUGCAAAAUAGGCAACUUAGGAAUUAAAAAAGCUAUGUGUGAUUUAAGGGCCUCCAUAAAUGUAACGCUUUUUUCUAUUUAUGAAUAACUUAAUGUGAGUUUUUUUUAUAAAAACAAGUGUUAUCAUUCAAUUAGCAGACAUCUCUAUUAUGCAUCCCGAAGGAGUUCUUAAGGAUGUAUUAGUGAAAAUCAAAGGACUUAUCUUUCCUGUGGACUUUUAUGUGGUAAAAAUGCAAGAGGAAAAUGCUCCUGAGUCUUUAGACAUCUCGUUGGGGCGACCUUUCCUUAGUACCACAAGUACUAAGAUUGACAUGCGUAGCGAAACCCUCAUGAUAGAGUUUGAUGGGGAGAUCGUGAAGUUUAAUGUUUAUGAUGCUAUUAGGCACCCAAGUGAAAUCUUGAACAUAAACCAGGUCGACAUAAUUGACUCAUUAUUAGAAGAAACUUUUAAGUCACCUUAUGAAGAUAAACUUGACACAUUGUUUGAUGAUAAUUUCGAUUCAGGAUUUAUUUACGAAUCUGUUAAUGAAUUAUCGACUCCUAUGAACACUAAACCUCUACCUUUUGUUGUGAAGGCACUAGAUCUAGAGUUAAAACCACUUCUUGAGCAUUUCAAGUGCACAUUUUUGGAGAAUGAUGAGACCAUUUCUGACUUAAAAAGAAUUAGCCCCUAGACAUGUACACAUAAGAUUUUCUUGGAAGAAAAUACGAAACCAAAGCAAGAGGCACCAGGACAAUUGAACCCAAAUAUGUUGGAUGUGGUAAAAAAGGAGAAUUUCCAAGCCCAUGUGAUUGAAAGAAUUCAGCUGGAACAGCUCCAAUACUAAUUGGGGCGUCAAGCUAACGACAUUAAACAAGUGCUUGUUGGGAGGCAAUCUAAUUUUAUUUUUAUUUUUAUUUUGUUAUAUAUUUUAUUUUUUUUAUUUUCUUGCAAGUUAAUAAAUUUUUAUCUCUCUUCUUACGUCCAGGAGAAUCGAAGAAAUGAAAAAAUAAAUUGGAAACGGGUGUCGAAAACAGUAACGAAAAUGACAUGGGGAAUGUUCUAAACCCUUUCUUUUUUUCAUCAUAUUUGUUAAUAUUAUUUUUCACAUUGAGGGAAAUGUGAUUUAAGUAGGGGGAGACAUACCUCCUUAUUUUUGUUGUUUUAUCUUUUUUCUUUACUGUUGUGUUACUGUUACUGCUGUCUUGUGCUUGCUUUUGGCCACAUUUAUUUUUUUAGUAACCUGCCCCUUUUCAUGCCCAAGAUUUUGACUAGAAAUUACCCACUAUUUGACCUGCGAGCAUGAUUCUUGUCUACUGAGUUAGUUAUGAUUUUUCUAUAUGGAUUUCAUCUCCACUGUUUCAUUUCUAUUAGGCUAAAAUAAUUAAGAUCAAUGAAGUUAACCCUAUCUUGCUUAUAGUAGAAUUGAUUAAGUCUAAUUGAAAAGAGGACACUUAAUACGAAUUUAUGCUAAAUUUAUUUUCAUGACAGAUAGGUAAUUGUCAAAACUUAUUUUUGACACUUAAUUAUUUUUCCUAGUCCUCCAAAAUUAAAGUUCUGUUUCGUUAAAAAAUAAAAUAAAAUAAAAUAAAAUCUGAUGAUUCCGUAGUUAUGAACACAGCUUAAAACGUGACUGACUGAGUAGCAGGGAUAGAGUGCUUGGGUUGUCAUCCUACUUCAUGUAAAAAGGUUGUGUGACGUGUUAUGUAAAACUCUGCUAACCGGAAUUAAACAAAAAAUUUUAUAGGUGUGUUGAGUUGAGUAACCAGGGUGGGGUGCUUGGGUUGUCAUUCCACUUAGCGUUUAAAGGGCCGAAACAUUCUUAAACAAAAUAAUAAUAAUAAAAAUAAUAAAAAUAAAUAGGAGCGUGUUGGGCUAGGUAACCGGGUGAGGUGCUUGGGUUAUUCUAUCUUAUAAUCAGGUUAAUCAUGCCUCACAAGAGAACUUGUGCCUCUGCUCAAAUUGAUGAAUCAAAAAACAAAUUUCACUGUGAAGAAGCCAAAGCGAGAUACGAAAGCGUUUUCAAGAAUCAACAGAUGUACAUAGAAAAAGGCUUUAUGCUGAAAGCAAGCAACUAUAUUGAUUUCAUGGCGCACAGCAACUAUAUUGAUUUCAUGGCGCGCAUUCGACAAAUUGCUGAAGCUCUCAAUUGGGAAUUAUUUUGUGAGAAAAGACCCAGUGCAAAUGAGGAGUUAGUUCGUGAAUUUUACGCGAAUUUGACCUCAAGCGAAUUGACGGAAGUAUCUGUUAGCGGAAUCAAGGUAUUGAUAACCUCAAAUGAUAUUAAUGAAUUCUUUGAAUUACCUGAUUUUGAAGACGACAAAUAUUCCUCCUUGAUAAGCAAUAUUGAGUUUGAAAAUCUACAACAAAUACUCAAGGAACUUACAUUUCCAGGUUCUAAGUGGACAGUUUCAAAGCAAGGAAUUCACACUUGUCGCAGAGAAUAUUUGACACCACUAGCGAAGGUAUGGUUCUAUUUCAUUCGAUUCAGCCUUAUGCCUAUUUCACAUAGGACUACAAUUUCAUUAGAGCAAAUAGUCUUAUUAUACUCGAUUUUAACUGGAAAGACCAUUGAUGUGGGAAAAAUCAUCCUCAGAGAAAUAUAGAAUUGUGCCACUAGAUGUUCUAGCCCAGCUUACUUUCCCUUUACCAUAACAAUUUCGUGCUUUAAAGCCAAGGAACAAUCACAGAUUGGGACCUCUACCGAAUAGUUAGAGACUUUGUUCUACAGCAACGAGUUGAAGAGAGCGAAGAUCCCAAAGAAGAAGAAGAUCCCACAGAGAUCGAAUCAAUGCAGUCAACUGAAAUCCCUGAUAAGGCAGAACCAAUGGAACUAGUAACCAAACCUAACGUCGCAACUUCAAUGUUCAAGACUCAAUCGCCUCGCCCAAAUCUUCGAGAUGAGCUGUCAAAGUUGAUGGACAUAAUGCAAUAUAUGCAAUAGCAGCAACAAGCUUACUGGAGAUAUUCAAAAAUACGAGAUGACUCAAUGAGAAGCGCUUUUACAAAAAUAUUCAAUGACCCAUUUAUUUUUGUACCUAAGUUUCCAGAUUUUAUAUUUGAACCAUGGAGUUCACUAUCAAAGAGGGAGCGAAGCGAUCCAUGCAAAAACAAAGACAAUGGAGCAAAAGAUGAGUCAAAUUCAGAGGGAUCUACAAAUAAAUAAAAAGGGGGGAUCUUGACUGUAUUUUAUUUCAGUUCUUAGGUUAUUUAAUAGGAUUAGGUUUUAUUAGGAAUUUUUAUUUUUCGCAUAAUAAAACAAGAGGUGGAAAUCAUUAAUAAAAAUGAACAAGUUGCAAAGUAUAAAGUGUGGCAAUAGAUAUAUACAUGUCUAGGAUUGGAUCUAGAGAGAGCUUGGUACUUAAGCAGUCAAAUUGACUCACCUCCUCUUUUUUAGGAUCCUACCUGGUAUAUAGUAUCAAUUAACUUUUAACCAUGAGGACAUUGUUCAUCUUAAGUAAAGGGGACAAAAAAUUUGAAAUUAUUUCCACUCAGAAUAAAUUUUUCUUUCAGUUAUGAUUAGGUUAUAUUUUUUUCAAAAAUUUGAAAUUUUGUUAAGUAUGCUUAACUUCAGUAUGAAUAAAGUUCGAUUAUUUCAAUAAUUGUUAAGUUAACUGAAAUAUGACAUAAAUGUAUUUUUAAUAAAGCAUGCAAAUCAUACCAUAAAAUUUUUAGUUCCUUAGGAAAGUUAGGAUCCAUGAAAGUUUAAGUCUCUAGAAUUGACUUAGUAGUUUCUUGAGGUGAAAUCCUAGGAAGCAUGCAAUGUUGAAAAUGAUUUAGGCAACUUUUUGUUUGGACUGUUUAAGCCUUUCAAGCCAACCUUGAUGAAUUUUUAUCCUUUGAAACCUAACUUUAAGACUAUAUGGCCUAAUUUUGUUUGAACCCUUGCAAUAUUUAGCCAUCACUUUUCUUUUAAUCAUCUUUAAAUUGUCCCAAACACUAGACUCAAUACUAUUCAAAAUGUUCCUUGAAAAUAAGUUUGGGGGAGUUGAAAAGAAGUAUCAAAUGCUCAAAAAAAUUGUAGUACAUAUAGUAAAAUGCUCGUGAAAAAAAAAAGAAAAAAAAGAAAGCAUAUGUACUUGAAAGAAAAUAGAUGUACAAAAAAGCAUGUGAAAGCAAAGUAAGUUGGUUUAUUAAAGGUAAUUAUUCUGAAUGUCCAAGUGAAGCUGAGUCUAGGGUUUUUAGCCUAAAUUUAUCUAUCUUUUACCUACCCCUAGCCUAGCCACAUUACAACCUUUUAAAAGACCUAUUGAUUCAAGUUUCUAUGCUACCUAUAAAAGUGGGGAGAAAUUUCUAUUUUCAACAUAUGAAGGCAUAAAUUAAACUUGAUGAUUUUAGCUUAAUCUUGAAUAGGAAAAUAAAACCAAAUUGGUAGGGAUUUAGCAUGUCUUUAUUAGGAAGCAUUUAGUCUAUUUUUUCUAUCAUAAUAAUAAUUGAGAUUAAUUUGAAUGAUAUGUAUACAUAAGUAGCAUAAAUAUCAAAUUUCUUGUUUUUGAGCAUAAGUAUACUAAAAUCAUGAUUUUGGGAAGAAUGUUGUUCUGGAGAAAUUUUUCAAAAGGGUUUUUUAGAAAUGCUUUUCAAAUUUGUGCAUUACUCGGGACGAGUAAUAAAUUAAGUUUGGGGGUGUGAAAACACAAAAAUAUACACAAUUUUUCAUGCCCUUUUUAACUCAAAUUCAUGCAGUUUGGGUAAAAUUAUUGUCAAAAAAUAUAUAAUUAUUAUAAAAUAAUUAUUUUGUACUUAAAUUAUUAAAAUGUUUAAUUUUAAUUAAUUUUAUUAUUAAUUUUUAUUAAUUUUGAUUAUUUUCGACAAAUUUGCACAAAUGGCGAAAAACAGCUCGAUAGACACUACUAGAAGCACAAAACCGAGAAGCAAUUUUGAAGUAUCAAGGUGAACUAAUUUUUCAGCCUACGAAGGUCCAAGUUAUGUGUAGUAAUUCAUAAUAUAAUUAAUUUUAAUUUUAAUCCAAUUUAAUUUGGGUUAAAUAAAUUAUAUUGAAUUAAUUAUGAAAAGGGGCCGAGUUGAGCUGAACCGAGAAAACCAAUCCAAUAGAGCACUAGGCAGCCCAAAACCGUCCCACAUGCUGAAUCCAUCAUCUUUAUUUGCUGAUUAUUUGGCUUGCAAAAUUUCCCUUGAAGACUCCUUCAAUUUGCAUUCAAACCCCUCCACUAUUCAUGCCUUUCAAGAUUUGCCCCUACCUAAAAAUAGCAUGUUUGAAAUCUUCAAACAUGCCACAUGUGUGAUUGGUCAUAGGGGGAGUCUUUGCCUGUUUAUUUUGGCUAUUUUUAGAAGCCUUCUCAACCUAUAAAUACCCCCUUGGUUGCUCACUUCAAAGACAUCUCAAACCUGUUCAUUUCUUCACUUCUCUCUCAUUUUUCUCUCUUCAUUCCCAUCCAUCGUUCUUCAUUUUCUUCCCACAUUCCCUUGUCAAUUUUACCUCUUGAAAAAGAGUUAUUAAACCACCAUUUGGAGCAGCAUUCAAGUGUUCAUAGAAGCCUCGGUUCAACAAGAACAAGCAGAGAGGGAGGAGCGGAGCAAACUAGUCAAGCCUCGGAGAAACACCGGAUUUGAUUCUUGUUCCCUAUCCUUUUAAUUUUGUUGUUUUUAUGAUGAACAUGUCUAUGAAUAUUUGUGAUGUUGAUAUGUUUAAUUUAAUUAAUAUGGCUUAAAUUUAAUUUGUGUUAGGUUUAUUGCAUUUUGUCUACUUAAUUUAUUAAAAUUGUGUUUGUGUUGUUAUAGGCCUUAGUAAGAUGUUUGAUUAAGUAAAAUCAUGACUAUGUUAUUCUUGCAUUACAAUUGUAAGGUAACUAAUGAAUUAAUUAUUUAAACGGAUUGAAAUUGUAAUUAAUUUGUCACAAUACUUAAUUAGUGCAUGUUUAAUCAUCUAAGGUAGCUGGGGUUAAAUUAGCAACGGUAUCUAACAAUACAUUAGCCUUGCAUAACUUGCAAGAUUAUUAUGAUUAAACUGUUUCAAGGUAGAAAUAUAUUGUUACCUCACGUAAUCUUUUAUGUACUUAUGAGAUUGAAUUAAUUGUUUGAAUUGGCAUAGAGAUAUGUACAAGAUAUUAUUUUAAUUUCGUAAGUAUGUAUGUGUAUUAACACAUUUUCUUAUUAUAAUUUGUUUAAUCGGUUGAAUUGAUGUAGAGAUAUAGUCAAGAGAUAAAUGGAUUUUGAUAAGUUAGCAAAUUACCGAGUUGCCGUGAAUUUAUUCAUAACAACAUGAACAUGAGUUUAAUAAUUCUAAGAUAAUAAAUGUAAUUCAUCUAACACAAUUAUGUCAUCUUGAUUAAAAUCAUCUUUUGAAAUCGUGCAUUGGAACUUUUAUUUUAUUUUUAAUUAUUUUACUUUGUUAAAAUCCUAGUUUUUAAUCACCUCUUCAAAUCAAAAUAUUUUUCUUCACCAAAGUGUUUUUAAAAUUGCAUUCAUAAAUAAUUUUUUUCACAGCCCUUGUGGGUACGAUAACUUGACAUUUACUUGUCACUUUAUUACUUGUUGCGAUUGUGUACAUUGCACAUUUCCGUCUUCCAGUUGUCAAGCCGUAGUAUUAGUUCGUAUAUAAGCAUUAAACAUGUCUUUCAUCAUGUGAAAGAAAGAUUAGAGGACUAUUCUCUAGGCUCUUGAAACUCAGGUACAUUACGAGCAACCCCUUGAUUGGUGGUUGAAAAAUUACUUUGUGCAUCAUCGGGUACUGUUCGAUUGAAAUCAGUUGACAUUUUAAUCUAUUAGAAAAUAAGUCAAACUGAUCAGGAGUCAUCACACUAUCACGGGUUAUAAAAUGGCAUGUAUUCCUAGACUCAAUACAUGCUACCUUCUGUCCUAAAAUCAACUAAACCAUAGCUCUAAUACCACUAAAUGUAAUACCCUAUACCCGAUACAAUUACUGUCCUGAGCUGUAAGAUAUUACAGCUAUAAAACUUUAACAUAUUUCAUAAAUUAUAUCAAACAUAAUCAAAAUAAUUCAUCACCAAUCAUUUCCAUCGAAAGUCUCAUUCCUUAUAACCGUUUCAUAUAUUCGUUUCAUUUUAAACAUUUAACACCCGAUGAACCAAAUGAAAUAACGUCAGAUACUCAAGAACAAUGCUCACAAAAAGUGUGACUGUAAUUGUAACUGUAAAUGCUUACACUAGCUAUGAAAUGGGUCAGUUCACACGAGCUAUGUGUCAGGAUGUUAGGCUAAAUGAUGCUACUCACACGAGUCGUGGAGAAUCCACAACAAAUGCAGGACCUCAGCCAACGGUAGGAUAUUCAAGACCAGCACCCAAAACUGUAAAUAAUCCCUAAUGACAUGACAUUUGCAUCCUAAGCAUUCACGAGGUUCAUAUGGACCAUUUUUCAUAUCUAUAUCAUUUAGUCAUAUACAUAUUAUUUCAUCACAAGAAUUCAUCCAUGUAGUUUCCCAUUUUCAAACAUAACCUUUAAUUUAAUUAUCAUUUCAACUUAGUUCAUUUAAUCUUUUACCAUUUAACCAAUAAAUGAACUCAAUCAUGACAUAUAUAGAUAGAUUAAUAUCACAAAAACAACUAAUUAAUUUUUACUAAGUUACGAACUUACCUCGACUAACAUGGAUGCAAAUAUAAAGCCGACGACUAAUCCAAAACCUUAGUUUUGGCAUGAUUCAAGUCUAGUUUAUUUGUUUCUUGAUCUAAAUAAUAAUUUAACUCAAUUAAAUAAUUCAAGUAGCUUAAAUUUAAAGAUUCUAACUUAUAACCCAUUUUAAUGUAAAAUUACGAAUUUACUCCUAACAUUUUAACUUUUGUUCAAUUCAGUCCCUAAAUUCCAAACUCACGAUUAAACCACAAUUAAUGAAAUAUCAUAAUGAUUUUAUUUAACGUCCUUUACAACCCAUAGCUUUCAUCAUUUCAUAAAAUUACCAUUGAAUUUUACCAUUUUCUCAAAUAAGUCCUUAAGCUCAAGUUCAUAAAAAAUCACUUAACAAAAUGUGUCUAUUUAACAACCAAGCUUAAUAAUCUAUUAAUCAAAUUCACUAACACUACAAACUCAUUCAUGGAAAGUCCCUAAACCUUUAAAAAUUUUACAAAUUAACCCCAGGGCUAGCUAGAUUAAGCUAAUACGAACUCGAAAACAUAAAAAUUACUUCAAACUGGACAAAAUAUUAUACCAUGCAUACCAAGAUAGCUUAGCCGAAACUUGAAGAUGCAAAAUGGUGGUAUUUUCCUUCUUAAUUUUCGAUGAUCGUGGAGAAGAAAGAUGAUAGCUUUCUUUGGUUUAUUUUUGUUUUAGUUUAAUUUAUUUAAUUACUAAUUUACCCUUAGAUUAUUAACUAAUAACUAACAAGAAUUUGUCCAUAAAUGUCCACUAGCCACUUUCAUGGUUUAUUUACCAUGUAAGUUCAUUAAUUUACUUUUUUAAAGUUAUUUAACCCUUUGAACUAAUAGAAACCCACUUUUGCAACCUUUACGAUUUAGUCCUUUUUACUAAAUUAACUAUCUAAACCUUAAAAUUUCUUAACGCAAAUUUAAUACAACCCUAAUAUAACUCUAUAGACAUUAAAUAAACAUUAAAAUACCAACUUGCUCAUCGGAAUCGUGGUCCCAAAAUCACUAUUUCUGACGCCACUGAAAAUAGGUUGUUAUAACAUACCUUCAUUAAUACUCCAUACUUAUGUUCAUGGACAAUCUUAUUAAUUAUUUUUUAGUUGAUUACGCCCUAAGUAGACUUAGAGACAAUGGUUGGAUACUCGGAACCAAUCAGCCAACACACCAUAAUAAUAGAAAUGUCGUGGCAUUAGUGUUUGAAGACCAGAUUAGAAUCAUACCAAAGUGCCAUAAAUGGAAACACCAAAGUGCUAAUAACAAGAGUGCUAAAGUACUCAUAUUAGGAAUCCCUUAUUGGCAAGCUAAUAGUAUCCAAGCCAACUCAAUAAGCUACUAGGGCUCAUUUAUCAAUCUAGAUUGCCAGAAAUUUUUUUUACAAUAAUUAUUCGUUUUAGUGUUGAUUUUCAUGACUUAUGUUUCUAUAACAAAAUUUAGUAAAAAUUCCAUGGCUUAUGCCAUCAUAACAUGAUUUAAUAGAAAUCUCACUCAAUGUAUUAUGCCAAUAUCAUUUCUGUCAUAAAUAUGGUUUUUAGCCUUUUUGUAACACCCCAAACCCAACCUAGACGUUAUGGCCAGAUUUAAAGGUGUUACCAUAAAUCAAUUGAAAACAUAAUAGAAAUCUCACUUCAUGUAUUAUGCCAAUAUCAUUUCUGUCAUAAAUAUGGUUUUUAGCCAUUUUGUAACACCCCAUACUCGGCCUAGAUGUUAUGGCCAGAUCUGAAGGUGUUGCCGUAAAUCAAUUGAAAACCUAGAAUUCGUUUGUCUUGAAAAGAAACCAAUUAGUUUAUAUUUUUAUAGAAAUUCGAUUUAUUAGAAAAUGCAUCUUUCCUCCUCGAUUGGAGAAAACUUUUGUUCAGAUUCACAUAUUUCAAAAUGGUUGAAUUUGCAGCAGAAAACUUUUAGUUGAGUGCAAUUCUGAAAACACUGUUGUUUAGAAAAGUCCAAAAUUUUGAUAAUCAUAUUCAAAUUAGCCGAAAAGCUUAAAUAAUUAAAACAAAAAAUACACAGCAAAAAUAAAGUCCAAACAUGAAACAGUCCAAGAUAGUCCAAAAAUGCUGAAAUAAUAAAAUUAAGAAAAAUAUAAUGAUUAAUUAAUUUAUUUUUAACCAAGUUCCGUCACACCGACCCAUCCUAAGUCUGAGGGUUACCUAAUUGACAAACAACAGAAAGUGAGUUUUUGAAACUUAGUGUGUAACAUAUCAUACAGAAAUCAAUUAGACAUAUAGAUAUAUAUAUUAGAAGCAGAGCUUAUCAAAACAUAACAGAUGCAAAUAUAUAUAAUCCUAUCCCCAUCCACUACACACCAUCUUUGCCAUCCCAACACACCAUAUAGGGUAUUAUAAAUCCAUCCAACCCUACACACUGUUUAGUGCUGAUAUGACACUUUUCAAAAUAUUUGCAGCUGAACUACCAGUUUAUUAAGUGUGAUUUAUCGCUUCUUACAAAAAAAUAUGUGGUUGUGCCACCAAUUACGAUAGAGAUAGCCUACACUUCUAUCAUAUACACAAGUCCCAUCCCAAAUGCAAAUGCAGAACUAACAGAUUUCUAAUAUUUUUAUGAUAUACAUGCUUAUCAUGACCAAUACAGAACAUACAUAACACUUUUCAGAUUAUACAUACUAUAGAUUUAUCACCUCAUAUAUACGUGCAUAUAUCAUAUUUUAUGCUAACAGAUGGUCAAAUUUCAUGUUUUAUAACUUCAUUGAUCACAUACAAACCCUAUGGAAGGCCUACAUUCGAUUCAAAUGAUAUUUACGGCCUUAGGCACACGUAUGGCCUACACGGCCUCACACAUGCCCUUGUGUGGCCCACACGGCCCAAUUGGCCUAAACUAUGUGUCACACAUAGCCCAGCACACAGCCUGUCACAUGGUUGUAUGUCACACACACGAUAGUGUGGCAUCAACAAUAUAGAUUUUUACUUUUGUUGUUCGCUAAUUUUCAGGUUUUUCGCUACACUCAUUUAUUGUUUCUAAAGUGAAUCCACUCGUAAGACUUCCAAAACCUAAAAUGUUAAUUAACCCACCUGAUUAGCAAUGAUUUCCCAAUUUUCCAACUAACACUUCCAUUCAAAAACGUUAGUAUAAACAUUAUUAAUCUAAAAUUUAGACUCUUAGGCGUUCUAACACUCACCCAAAAAUCCACAGCAGAACCAAGUACCACUGACUCACAAUAGGAAAAUUUUGAACUUCUUGAUUAACACUUAACAACAAAAAUUUACGAGAUUAAACCAUGCUCCAAUGAUAAUUAAGCCAUUAAUCACAACCCUUAUACAAAACUAUAGAGAACACUUACCUAUGAAUUCCCGUAGAAUCAUAAUCGCACAAAAGAAUAAGGUUGAACCCCAUACCAAUUCACAAGGAAGAGAUUAAAACAAAAUAACAAAGAAAUCAAGAACAAAAUAGCACAGGAGGCGUAAAUGAAAGAAGGGAAAAUAAAGAAAGUACAAGAAAGGAAGGAACAAAAAGAAUAGAACGUGGAAGCACAAUUGGGAAAUGUGGGGAAUUUGGGAAAGAUUAAAUGAAGUAAAAUAAAAUAAUAAAAAUCUUUUUCUUUUUCUAGCCAUUUAAUUUUUGAAAAGAAAACAAUAAAAGAAUCAUGAUAACCACCUAUCAGAUACCGAUAACCACACAGAUUUUUUUAAGAAUUUGAAUUUAACUUAUCCACGAGAACAAGGCAAAGCAUAAAAAUAUUCCACUAGCUCGUGCAAAAAGUCGAACACAUGAUUAAAAGGUUUACAAGGACUUAACCAUUGAACCACUAAGCUUAUCAUUAACAUAGAUUGACCAAAAAUAAUUUUUAACCCCAACAAACAGAGUUAGGUCUAGGGAAAAAAUACUUGAAUUUUCCCCAAAGAUAGAUUUGAACCCAAGACCUCAAAUACAUAAAAAAAGGUACUUAACCACUAAAGCAAAUACUGAUUAAUAUCAAAAUUUAACAGAUCAACAAUUAAAUUUUUGGGACGUUAUGUGACAGCCCUAAACUGACCCUAGUCGAAAAGUGGUUUCGGGACCACGAAACCGAGUCCUAUAAGAAAUUAAAAGAUAUAUUCCGUGUUUAUAAUGUGAGUAAAUGCAUGUGUGAAAGUUUCAUGCAUUAAUUUGAUUAUUUUUAUGUGAAUUUAGUUAAAAAGGACUUAUGUGAAAAAUAUUAAAAUUGUGGUAGGUUGAAGUGUAGUGGUCAAAUAUUGCAUGGCUUAAAAUAUGGGGAUUUGCAUGUCAAAUUCCCCAUUUUUAUGUAAGUGGCUGGCCAUGAUGAUGGUUGAAUAGCCAUAUAUGCAUUAUAUAUUAUAUUAUAAUAGUUAAUGGUUUAAAUUUUAAAAUAAAAAAAGGGGAAGCCAUACAUCCUUGCCUUGUGCUUGCCAAAUGUUGAGAAAGAAAGAAGAAAUAUAAUUAUUAAAUGAUAUUUGGCCACUACAUAGGUAAGUGGACGGUAAUGGACCACCAUUUAAAAGGUUUUCAUAUUAAAUUACAAAGAUUAAUUUAGUAAUUGGCUUAUUAAAAUGAAAUAUAAUAGAAGAUGGUGAUAAAAACAAAGUUACACCCAUCCUUUCUUGCAUUUUUGCCGAAAACCAUAAAGAAAAGAAAAUGGAAAUGAAGCUAGGGCAUUCGGCUAUGGUGAAUGUAUAGAUUAAGGUAUGUUUAAUGCUCUUUCAUUGAAAAUCCUUGUAUAUUUGGAGUGGUCAUCAAGUAUAGAAGUCAGCUCAUGGCAAACUUUUUGUAAAUGGAUGAAGAUGACAUUUGGUCAUGGAUGUUUAUAUUUCUUUGAUGUUGGUUUCGAUGUUUUGUGUAUUGAGGGUUGAUAAUAGAUGGAAGCCGAAUGGUUGUUGUAUGUAGAUAGCAUGCAUGCCAAUAAUGUUUUUAUUUUCUACUUAAUGUCUUAUUGAUUAUGAGUUAACAUGAAUAUUUAGUUGAACAUAUACCUUGAAUUAUGUUCAAAAAUUUUAAUUGAUUAGUUGUACUCUUCUUUUUGCUUUUGAAUAUUCGAAAUAUUGAAGGUGAAAGGCUGGAAAAUUUCAAGUUGAAAUGUUGUCCAAAUGCUGGAAAUUUAGCAUGCAUAUUCUUUUAUUUAAAUGCUUUGACCGAAUGUUGGAAGUUAACUUGAAUGAUGUCUGGUUGCUGCAUGAGGGAGUUAAAAUUGAACUUAAGAUAGUUUAUUACUAAUUAAUUUGCUGCUGUAAUGCUGUAAAUUAUUGGCUGUCCAAAUUAGGACAAAUUUAUGGUACUUAGCUAAUUAAUAUGCUGCUGUAAUACUUAAAUUAUUGGCUCUCCAAAUUAGGACAAAAUCAUGGUGUUAUGUGCUAGCAUGAUAUGUAUGUGUGAUUGAAGUGAAAAAUGUUUAGAUGAUUUAUAGUAAUUGGCUAAUGUGUUUUUGUGGAUAUAGAUGCCGAAUGUGGACUCAAGAAAUUAAUUGGAAAAUUUGUUGUUUGUUUAGGUGAUAGAAAGUAUGAAAUAGUCUUAUGUGAUACGUGUAUAUAAGUAGAUGGAAGUGAAGUGUCCUAUAUUUUUGUGUAUGGGAUUAAUUGCAUUUUGAUUUUAAUGUGCAUGAUUAUUACUAUGUUUAAAAUGUGUGAAAGCCGAAUAUGCUCAUGAUACAAUGCUUGAUUAGUUGAUUAACAAUAAGUUAAAUUUGUGUAAUCCAAGCUUAAGAGCAAAGAGGAUCAAAGUCGGAUAGGGGAAAAGAGAAAGUAAACAAAUAGCCGUGGAUAUCUAGUCGUCGACCACUUCCGAGGUAAGUUUUAAGUGAUUAAACGUUGAGUAAAUUCAAUCAUAAUAGGACAUAAUGAGUUGAUUUAAUAAGGUAUGAUGUGGCCAUGAUAUGUCUUAAACUCAAAUGGUAAGUUCAUAUGUGUUUGGACUUGGAAAUUUAAGAGCAAAUUGUAAUAAUUUGCUUUGGACAGCAGCAGUAACGUGAUUUUAGAAAAUCACUAUAAAUUGUUGGUGUGGAAUUAUAGGCUGAAUAAAAUAUGUAAUCAAGGCUUAAUUAGUCUAGUUUCUUAUAAAAGAGACCUUGUGAGCAAAGAAAUUUCCUAUAAAGAGAUAUUUAAAGUUGUGUGAGACGGUGUCAGAAUGACUCCGAAAUCCCCUGAUCUGUUUUUAGAAAAUCAUUAUAAAUUGUACAAAAAUGGUUAUAAGAUAAAAUUUAUAUGCUUAGACUCCUUAAUGAGUCUAGUUUCAAAUGAAAUCAAAUACAACACAUUUUGAAUUCUGUAAAAUGAGAAAUUUGAUUCGUAGUGAAGAGUGGUCAGAUUAGUCAAACAGUGAAACAGGGGAAACUUUAAGAAAAAUCUGGUAUUUAUUGGACAAACCUAAAAUUCUGGAAAUUUUAUGGAUAGAAUAUAUACGAGUCUAUAUUCAGGAAAAAUUAACGGCAAGUGAUUUGGAGUUUUGUAUCUCUGGUUAUAAAUAAUUUAGUGACCAUUGCUCAGGAAAACAGCUCGUAGUGAAUAUGUGAUUUUGUUGUAAACAUGGAUAAAACUUGUUUUAGUUGCUCAUAAGCUAUUGAUUAAACCCAUACUUGAAUUCUAAAUCGUGAUAUUGUAAGUUUAUGAGUAUUCGAAUAUGAAAUGAUAGUAUGGCGUAAAAUUGAAUUAUUCAUUGGAAAGUGAUGGAUGUAGAUUCGGCCAAGACCAAGUCUGUACAUGAUAGUAUAUGUGGUAUGUGAAGUAUAUUUGAAUGAAUGUGAAAGUAUAUAUAUGUGAUAAGGCCUAAUGGCCGAUGUGAUGAAUGUGAAAGUGUAUAUAUGUGAUAAGGCCUAAUGGCCGAUGUGAUGAAUGUGAAAGUGUAUAUAUGUGAUAAGGCCUAAUGGCCGAUGUGAUGAAUGUGAAAGUGUAUAUAUGUGAUAGGGCCGAGUGGCCAACGUGAUGGAUGUGAAAGUGUAUAAAUGUGAUAAGUCCCGAAGGGCAUUUGUGUCAGUACUAUAUCCGGGUUAAAACCCCGCAGGCUUUAUGCGAGAUUAUUAUCACUGAUUAAUGUCCGUAGGCUUCGUGCUCGUACUAUAUCCGAGCUCUAAAGACCCGAUGACUACGUGUGGAGAUUUUGUCCAGGUAAGCCCCGAACUAAAGGUUUUGCUGAAGAUUCAAGUAAAGCGUAAGAUUAUACAACUUCACAGUAACAAUUGGUAAUAAAUACGUUCAAUGCGUUAAGUUGGUCAGGUAUGUAUUUUGAGAUUAUAUUUAAGUUUGAUUUAGACUAAAUCACAAGGUCGUUAUGUGAUGCACAUGUGAGUAAAGCAAUAAGACUGUUCUAUGAUUAUUGUGCAUUUGGUCAAUGUGGAAAGUCAGGAAAAAAAAUAUGUAAUGUACCUAUGAUCAUAAGAGGUCACUAUCAAGUGAGAAUUUAUCUGCCUAUUAUAUAUGAUGAGAUGUGCAUAUUCAGUAAAGGGAUGGUAUGCCCGAAGGAAGAGUGAAAUAAAAAAUACGAACAACUAUGUUAUAAUUUGAUUGUUAUCUGUUGACACUGCUUAAAACUUACUAAGCAUUAUAAUGCUUACUCCGUGUACUUUGUUUCCUCUGUUUUAUAGAUCUCAUUUGGAAGCUACAGGCUCGGGGAUCAUCAGCAACUAGUCACACUAUCACUAUCCACUGUUUGGUACUGCUACGUUUUGGAUUAUCUUAUGGCAUGUAUAGAAUAGACUAGUAGUGAGAGGAUAUUUUGGUUAAUGUAUAUAAGCCAUGCGAAAAUGGCAUCUUUUGAAUGUGUACUUAUAGAAGUUUAAAUUGUAUCCCUGACUGUCUCUAGUACUUAUCUAGAGGAAUGUUCAAAAAAAAAAUUUACUGUUCUGAUAUGAGUUUCAAGACUGGUAAUGCCCCUUUAUCUAUUCCGGCGACGGAUACGGGAUUGGGGUGUUACACGUUACACAUUUAAAGUCUUUCAUUUCAAUUUUUAGAAUUUAUAAUAUAGGUAGGAAAUAGUUUGCCUAACUCUAUAUAUAAGCACCAAAGUAUCAUUUAUACACAUUUAAACUCUCCUUUUUAAUUAGUCCGUAUACAAGUUAUGGUAUCUUGUGUUUUGUAUCAUUUUAUGGAAAUUUUGGUAUUUUAAGCUUGUAUCGACACUUGUCGACAUAAAGCAAGACUUUACUUUUUUAUAUAUAUAUUUUUGGCCAUAGUGGUCUUAUCCAAACCUUCUAUAAUGAUAGUACGGUUCAUACAUAUACAUAUCCUAUAAAGCUUUAGUUACUUCCAUGGCAACUUUAACAUCCUUUUAACAUAAUUGCCUAACAACACAUCUCAUGGCCACUAAUAAAAACACUUUACAUUUUAAUGACUUAUUUCAUUGCAUUAUGCCAUGGGAUUACACACUAAUAUAUUAACACUUAACUAUGACUUCAAUUUCAUAAACCCUAAGCUUACUAACUUAAGGGAAAAAUGAUCCAAGAUACUUUUCCAACAUUUAAUCAAUCUUUGAUGAACACCAAUCCAUCAUCAAUUAAGCUUGGAAAUCCUCAAAUCACCAUUUCCUCAUUUCUAUGCAACCAAAAUAUAAUAAAAAAUGAACAUAAAUUCUUUCUAAGCUUUUUCAUAUCAUUUCUCAAUAAUUAUCAAACUAAUCGAGGUGUAGAAAACCAUUUCUUACCAUUAUUGAAGCUUUCUCACUCUAGCUUUAUCUUCUCUCAACAAAGCUCCAUAAACCCUAAGUUGAAAUUAGUGAAAUUGAUUAUGGUAAUGAGUUCAGGAGGUGGUUUCCAUAAAGAUUUCAACAAAAUUUUAAGGUGAGUAAUGGAAAUUUUGAAAGAAAAUGAAGAAAU